rnacentral:rRNA from 1 species
CCUACGGGAGGCAGCAGUGGGGAAUCUUGCACAAUGGAGGAAACUCUGAUGCAGCGAUGCCGCGUGAGUGAAGAAGGCCUUUGGGUUGUAAAGCUCUUUUGUAGGGGAAGAUAAUGACUGUACCCUAAGAAUAAGGUCCGGCUAACUUCGUGCCAGCAGCCGCGGUAAUACGAAGGGACCUAGCGUAGUUCGGAAUUACUGGGCGUAAAGCGCGCGUAGGCCGUUGAGUUAGUUAAUUGUGAAAUCCCAAAGCUUAACUUUGGAACUGCAAUUAAAACUGCUCGACUAGAGUUUGAUAGAGGAAAGCGGAAUACAUAGUGUAGAGGUGAAAUUCGUAGAUAUUAUGUAGAACACCAGUUGCGAAGGCGGCUUUCUGGAUCAACACUGACGCUGAGGCGCGAAAGUAUGGGUAGCAAAGAGGAUUAGAUACCCUCGUAGUCCAUACCAUAAACGAUGAUUGCUAGAUGUUGGAAAUUUAUUUUCAGUAUCGCAGCUAACGCAUUAAGCAAUCCGCCUGGGGAGUACGACCGCAAGGUUAAAACUCAAAUGAAUUGNGNGNGNGANGCGAGCGACACGAGGAGAG